rnacentral:lncRNA from 1 species
AUAAUAAAAAAAGUGGAACAACUAAAUGUAAAGCCAUGAAUAUGCUAUAUCGUUCAUUAGAUAUAAAUAAAUUUAACUUGAUUUCUUCUUAUAUUUCAGUAAAGCAAGUGUGGAAUAAAUUGGAAGCAACCUAUGAAAAAAUAAAUCAAGAAGAAGAAUCAUGCUCCAAAGAGGAUAAGGAUGCACCCCCCAAACAUAUGUCUUAUGGCUCAUAAGGUUAAAAGGAAAAAAGAAGAAGAAGAAACAAAGG